rnacentral:rRNA from 1 species
UGGGGAAUAUUGCACAAUGGGCGCAAGCCUGAUGCAGCCAUGCCGCGUGUAUGAAGAAGGCCUUCGGGUUGUAAAGUACUUUCAGCGGGGAGGAAGGCGAUAAGGUUAAUAACCUUGUCGAUUGACGUUACCCGCAGAAGAAGCACCGGCUAACUCCGUGCCAGCAGCCGCGGUAAUACGGAGGGUGCAAGCGUUAAUCGGAAUUACUGGGCGUAAAGCGCACGCAGGCGGUCUGUCAAGUCGGAUGUGAAAUCCCCGGGCUCAACUUGGGAACUGCAUUCGAAACUGGCAGGCUAGAGUCUUGUAGAGGGGGGUAGAAUUCCAGGUGUAGCAGUGAAAUGCGUAGAGAUCUGGAGGAAUACCGGUGGCGAAGGCGGCCCCCUGGACAAAGACUGACGCUCAGGUGCGAAAGCGUGGGGAGCAAACA